CAGGCUUCAUAUUGAUCAAAUGCUACAAGUUGGACAUCAGCAAAAAAAUGAACACAUAAUAGACUUUCAUCAGCCGUGGAUUUACUAUUCGCCGUUUUGACUCUCUGGGGGAGGAUUCCAUAUCUAGAACUUGAGUCGUUGGUAAUUUCCCUGAGGAGAGAAUAUGUACUCGGAUGUAUUUAAAAUUGCAGUCCUGCAAAGCCUUGCAAAAAUCUGCUGUUACAGACUUCUCUGCUGGCAGAUCGAGAAGGAAAGCAGGCCUGGGCAUUCGGUCCCUUGGGCCCAGCUGAAACGUGAGGGGAAAAGGAGGUUGAAGGAUUCCCGAUCAUGUCCUGAGCCUAGAUGAGUACCAAAGUCAAAGCAAGAAAAAGAGAGACCUACCCAGGAGCUCUGUGAAAACGGGGAGAUGAGGCAUAGAGUUCAGAAAGGAGCUCUCAAAGCAGGAGGAAAUCUGAAACUGGCAAAAGCAUGAAUGGCCAAAGGCAGCACAUCUCAGUAAUAAAAACUGGUGCAUUUUGAGCA